CUAAUAUAAAUUGAUUGAAUUUUAAAUUGAGUGGCCAUGAGCUUUUUUGGUUCAUCAAAGGCAAUGACCAUUUGAUAGUGUGUGAUAGAAGUAGAACAAUCCAAAAAAAGGAUCUACACUAAAACUAACUAGCAAUGGUAUUUGUUCCCCUUUUCUUUUAUUUUCUUCUUCCCAACACUAGCUUGUUCCCUUUGCCACCAUUUCAUCCCCUCGUCAUCAUCUUCAAUUAGCUUAGUUUGACUUUUAUUACCCCUUUAAUACAUUACUCUCAAUCUAAGCAUGCCCUCAAGCUUAUAAAUUAGUAUUUCUCUACUAUUUCUCCAAUAUAUAUAUAUGGUAACAUUGGGUUUCAAGUUACCGUAGCUUGGGGUCACAAGUUAGGCCUGCAGCACAAUCAAGUAGGCUAACUCUUUGAUUGUGUACAUUUUCGCUAUGAAAUAAAAUCAUACUUCCAUUUUAUACAGAAAUCAGAGUAUCCUGCAGCGUAAUUAUACAAGUAAAACAGUAUUUUUUUUUCUAUCAGUUAUUAACAGGAAAAAUGGAUUUUGUAGGUAUUAGCAGUUGAAAACGUCUUAAACAUGAUAAGUUAAGGAAUAUUGAUUUCGUCUCCUUAUUAAUAAAACAUAAUCUUUUAUCUAUGUGGUGAAGGCUACUAUAUAAUGUGGCUUUCACAGUGAAAGUAAAACUUUAUUUGGAUGUCAAACUCCUAUGGCCGUCCUACCAAAUACCGACAGAUGAACUACCAUGCUUUGGUUGCGCAUCAGCACCUGUAUUCUGUUCGUUUGUGUUGAUGCCAAAAAUGAGAAUUUGUUCGGUCCUAUUGAUGGUUCAGGAAUAUAAACGUAUUGGCGGACCAUACUGGAAAAGCUAGCUUGCAGUCCAUGCUGAUUCUCUUCCACUAAUUCCACUCCUAAAAUGCUCAUUCUUUCUACUCUACUCCUGAGUCCUGAGUGCACAACUUUGGGUCCUUUGGGACUUUGUUAUAUUCUGUAUGUAUCAAACUCUACUCCUGAGUGCACAACUUUUAUCUACACAUUACAGUUAUAGUCUUGUAAAUGAGGUGUGCUUAUACAGUAUUAUAAUGACUUGGUGUAAUCAUGUUAUUACUUGGUGAAUGAGGCCGGAGUAGGGGCCUAGCCUGAACCAUAUACGCAUUUGAUUUAAACGCAGUAACUUUCAUCCUGAAGAUUCAAGAAAUCAACUCACAAAACAGUAAAUUAGACAAAUUUUGUUUGUGAUACAAACCAUAAGAUAUGAGUCAUGUGGAAGUCUAAUCCACUCUCCCUGGAGUAGAUCAUUUGAUUCGAUUACUAUCUCGUGUAUAAUACAAAUAUAGUAUUUUUAUACGAGUAGCACACAUAAUGUAGUAAUACAGACUUGUGUUUCCUUUAUUCUUAGGAGAAAUAGCUACUACAUAUAUUUCAUGUUACAU